rnacentral:misc_RNA from 1 species
GAUGAAGAACGUAGCGAAAUGCGAUACUUGGUGUGAAUUGCAGAAUCCCGCGAAUCAUCGAGUUUUUGAACGCAAGUUGCGCCCGAAGCCAUUCGGCCGAGGGCACGUCUGCCUGGGUGUCACGCAUCGUUGCCCCCCCAAGCUCCGGUUCGGGCAGGGCGGAAGUUGGCCUCCCGUGCGUGCCUGCGCGCGCGGUUAGCCCAAAAGCGAGUCCUCGGCGACGAGCGCCACGACAAUCGGUGGUUUUUUUACCCUCGUUCCUCGUCGUGCGUGCCCCGUCGCCCGAACGCGCUCUUGCGACCCUUACGCGUCGCCUCGGCGGCGCUCCCAACGCGACCCCAGGUCAGGCGGGACUACCCGCUGAGUUUAAGCAUAUCAAUAAGCGGAGGA